rnacentral:rRNA from 1 species
CCCCUAGAUGUUCUGGGCCGCACGCGCGCUACACUGAACAGUUCAACAAGUCUUAACCUUGGCCGAUAGGUCUGGGUAAUCUUUGAACGCUGUUCGUGAUUGGGAUAGACCUUUGCAAUUAUGGGUCUUCAACGAGGAAUUCCUAGUAAACGCAAGUCAUCAGCUUGCAUUGAUUACGUCCCUGCCCUUUGUACACACCGCCCGUCGCACCUACCGAUUGAAUGGUCCGGUGAAAUCUCGGGACUGGCGUGAGUCGGAGCAAUCUGACAAACACCGGAAAGUUGAUUAAACCUUACCAUUUAGAGGAAGGUGAAGUCGUAACA